CAAAUGAGCCAGGUGCGAUAGCAUCCCUUGAUUACUCUUAAUUACAUAAUUAGUGGGUAGGUAUAGUCAAUACCAUUUACGAAGGUGUGCUUACGAUACCUGGACGGAUUUAAUCUUCAUGUAGUUUUCAAUCGUUUGAUUAAAUUACUGCAGUUCGCCAUGAUUACUUUUCAUGUCUCAGGAUUUUUCCUAUUGUAAAUAACAUACCUAUUGCAUGACUUUUAUAAUUAGUUUGAAUUACUUCAUCGAUGGUGUUCCUCAUACGAUAUUACCUUAUUUGUGACCUUUCAAAGCGUAUGUAAUAUGUAUAUUGAAUUUAAAAAAUAGCAAAUCCGCAUUAUAUUUACAAAUUAUUCUUGUAAAAUAAUUAGAUAUGUGUAAGGUUAACACACUGUAAUGUAUAACAAUAAAAAUCCGAAUAAAUGAAUAAUUCAUAAUACCUAAUAACCAAGGAAUAAUUUUUGAGCAUACCAGUUUUUCUGUUGUAAAGUUAAAUUAUAGAAUAUAUUCCUAAUAUUUGUAUGAAGUUGAUAACGGUAAUUCAAUAACAUUAUUCGUUAGGAUAAUUUUAUAUUUUUCGUUUUAUUCUCUACUUAGUUUAUUAUACUGGUACAUAUUGCAAUUUGUAGUUAAUCGAAAUUUGAAACGAACAACUUUGGAGUGCGCGUAAUACCGAUAACUUCUUUGAA